ensembl:lncRNA
CAAGAAAAGAAAUGCAGGCUCUUGAAGGGGACUUCUGUCUCCUGCUCCUUGUCCCAUGUGUGGGCCGGAUUUUAAGUUUGCCUUCUUGCUGAGACACAUCCACUCCCCGUUUAGCUCAAGCUGCCCUGGCACACACUGUGUAGUCCCAGCUCCUCUCAGAGGUCCAUGUCUUGGUUGCCAAGGGCAAGUGUAAGACUGAAUGUAUAAUCUAGAGUGAAGACAGUAACAGGCAUAUAUAGUUAUGUCAUGGGAAACAGUAAUAGGCCUCCAAUGUCGGAAGACUCUUGUGCCCUUGCUGCAGUGUGAACUAAAGCAUCCCCUAGAGAGAAUCAGUGACAGAUCCAUUUGGAAACCACUCUGAUUUCAGCGCACAUGUUUCUCCAAGUGGGGUUGUGUAAAGCAUUCAGUGUUGACAGGUAUCUGGAUCCUCUAUCCAGGGCCACUAGAGUCAGCCUGGCACAGGACACACAAGGCCUUUUGUCUAGAGCCCUUGUCUGGAUCACACACAGCGUGCUAUCCAGGGAAGUCUGUGUGAAGUAGGUAAGAACUAGGUCCCCUGAUGGUUUACUUUUGUUCAGCCCUGAGGUUGCAACAUGUCUUUUUUCUCCCUUGAAGUGAUCCCUGAGAUCGCUCUCAAGACCAGGAAUCCAUCAGACUUCAGGGGCAAGCAUGGAGGCAGAAUGCUGCUGGGUGCAGAUGGGGAGCAAUGCAGGAUUUGAGCGUGGACUGCACAGACUUCCUCCCAAGAGAAGAGGAAUGAGGCAGAUAAGAUGGGUGGAAGAGGAGGGCACCACAAUGGCUCCUCGUAGAGCUCUACUGCCCCCAUGAGGACACAGUUUCAUCAGACAUGUUACCUCCAGUUUCCUUCCCAUGACAGCCCUGGCCUUUAGUGUUCUAGAAGAGAUUGGGCAUUAUUUUCUUUCUACAACCUGGAGAACUGAACCCUAACUGUACAUUAGUGUAGAACCUAGGGGGUGACACGAACUAUCAGCAGUGAAGCAAUUUAAUAGCAUACAUGUUUACUGUAGGUGCGAGUGUACCCCUGUAGUAUGCUUGCCAAGGUCUGAGAACAAUUUGUAAGUGUUAGUUAUCUCCUUUAAAGAGGGUGCUGGAGAUGGAACAGAGGUCCUCAGGCAUACAUGCAACCCCAGUAUCACAAACGGUUAUCCUCCCACAACCUGAGGACACUGCAGAAAUUCAUAAGUACAGAAAUGAGUAAAAAAGCACUUGGAUUCAGGAUUUACUAGACAUGCCCUCAGAAUUCACAUGCUUUCUUUCUACUUUUUAUUCACCUACUGGACAAGUAUCACCAAGUAAAUCAAGCCUGAAUGCACAGGGCUCUGAGGGAAUUUAUCUAGACAAAGGAGAGGUGUUUUCAUGAAGAAGGGUGGUGGUUUGCAAUCUUUGGUUUGAAUUGCAAAUGCAAAAGUAAAAUGGCUGCCUUGUACAACUAGAAUCUGCACAGAAGAGGAAGCAGGCAUUUUUCUUGUCCUUUUUUUCAGACUAAACUGGGGGGAGAAUAGUAUGUAAGGUGGCAUUGCUGAACUUAUCUAGAGCUCUGCUGCCCCCAAGAGGAAUUAGUUUCAACAGGACACCAGCAGUUACUUUCCUAUAAGCCCCUGCUAGAAGGAAGGCUAGCCUUCAAACUGAAGCUCAUUGUCUUCCAAUGCCCCAAGAAAUGCCAGGAAGCUGGUGUAAUUCCUCAUAGAACCUGAAGGUUGUGGGACCUGAAGUGGACCACAAGUAGUCUGGGAUACUGAAACUGUGCUAUUCCCAGCUUUGAUUUGAAAAUGUAGAAAUAACUCAAAAACAAAUGCAAACUCUCCGUCAUCAAGAUGGCUCCUGCUUGUAAUCCCAGUGUUCUGAAGGUAGGAAAGGACUACAGUGAGCACUAGGUAAACAUGGGCUAGAGAGAAGAUUUUGUGUCAAGGAACUCAAGAAUGAACUUUUAAAAUGGGUUAGAGGCACUGCACUAUGAGAAGGGGUGUGUGUUCCUAUUGCUCUUGCCCAUGCUGGAAGCAGAACUUCACGCACCAUCACUGUUCUACAGCCCUACUUACUAUACCCGCUGGAUCCAGGAACUGCAGCAGUGGAAGACCGGCAAGAAAAGCCAAUUCCACAUGCCAAGGGAGUUUAGAAAAGGCCUGAUGUGUACCCAACUAUCAAAACACAGGGCAAAGAAUUAGGCUUCCAUCUAGAAGAGUAAAUGUAUGUGUGGGG